GACUUCUUUAUUCUCCGACGGCGGCGAGAAAAUUCUCUUCCCCAGCGUCUUCUCUGACAUCUCCAUUCGCCGGCGUCUUCUCACUCGUCUCUCUUUCUCCUAAUUGCUUUCUCCGACGAUCUCGUUUUCUCUCUCAGCUGAGUGGUGUUUUGGUAAAAAAGAUUCUUCCACCGGAGCUCGUGAAUCACACCCAGUCCUGUAAAUCGACUCGGUAAAGGAACAUCAGGUCUGAGGAGUUUUUGGUCUUGUCUCUUUUCAAUCUUUCUUCUCUCUUGACCUCUUCUUCAAUCUCUCUUCAGUUUGGAUCAUCCUUAACCGGUUCCACUUGAUUCUUAGAACUGUACACAGAUGGCAUGGUUUGUGGUUGCUCUUUCGCUAAUUGUUAUCUGGGUCGCUUCUCUCUGCAAAAUUUUCUUUGGAGCAACAUUUAGUUUCAAAGCUGCAAUUCUUGAUGAUGGUAUAACCCCUCACAAGAAAAAUGUGCUGUUCGUCAUCGCACAUCCUGAUGAUGAGUCAAUGUUCUUUUCUCCAACAAUAAACUACUUAACUACCAAUGCUUACAACCUUCACAUAUUAUGCUUGUCCACUGGUAAUGCCGAUGGUAUGGGAAGCAUUAGGAAAGAUGAGCUGCAUCAGGCUUGUGCAGUGCUCAGGGUUCCUCUUCGACAGUUAAAGAUUCUGGACCAUCCAAAUUUACAGGAUGGUUUUGGGCAAGUAUGGAGUCAUGAUUUGUUAACGGAAAUCAUCGAUGAAGCCGUCACUAAUCAUGAUAUUCACACGAUUAUAACAUUCGAUAAUUAUGGUGUUUCGGGUCAUAGCAAUCACCGUGAUGUACACCAUGGAGUAUUAAAGUUCCUGAUGAUUAAUUCAGAAAAAAAUAUCAAAGCUUGGGAACUUGUAAGCUUUAACAUCUUUCGCAAGUAUUGUGGACCCGUCGACAUUUGGCUGUCAAUUUUGUCUGCCAAAAGACAUCCGAGUAAAAGACAUCCAAGUAAACUAAUCAUUAUAAACGAGCAGCCUUGGAAAAGCUUGGAAGCAAUGGCACAACAUUUAAGCCAAUGGGUUUGGUUUCGAAAGCUUUUCGUUAUUUUUUCGAGCUAUACAUACACGAAUACACUUUGUAAAAUCAACCCUUGAAUCCAGAUUUUUGGAGACCUCCUUGCUAGUGUACUUGAUUGAAUGAUUACAGUUUUCAACAAGCAAAUGAGUUCUUGACGAGGCAAAGAGAAUGGCUCAAAUUCCAGUUGUGUACGGUGAGUGGAAGUUUAAGGAGAAUUCAUGGCAUUUUGUUGUUGACAUGUGCAAAGGUGGAAGAAUGUGGUUUUUGAACGAUGGUUGCACCUUUGGG